rnacentral:rRNA from 1 species
AGGCGAAAUGAUACAAUUUUCCAAAUUCGACCUCAAGUCAAGUAAGGAUACCCGCUGAACU